UGAAUUUCCUGGCUGGGGAAAUAUCAUGAUCAUGAAGGUGGUUUCGCCCAGGUGAGGCUCAUCCAGUGCACUCCGGAUCUGCUGACCCCUGUGAUUUCCCCAAACGCAGGGAAUUUCACGGCAUGAUUUGUGGUAUAUACAGUAUAUUCUGCUUUGG